UACGAAGGGGGCUAGCGUUGCUCGGAAUGACUGGGCGUAAAGGGCGCGUAGGCGGUUGGCACAGUCAGAUGUGAAAUUCCCGGGCUUAACCUGGGGGCUGCAUUUGAUACGUGUUGUCUAGAGUGAGGAAGAGGGUCGUGGAAUUCCCAGUGUAGAGGUGAAAUUCGUAGAUAUUGGGAAGAACACCGGUGGCGAAGGCGGCGACCUGGUCCUUGACUGACGCUGAGGCGCGAAAGCGUGGGGAGCAAACAGG
rnacentral:rRNA from 1 species